ensembl:lncRNA
ACAUUCGCUGAUGAGACUUGCCUGAGUCAAGCACUACAAUGGUGAUCACAAAAGUGGUGGAACGAUUAGAGUACUUGAAUCAACUCCUUCUGGGUGGCCGUGUUUGUUCAGUUUGAUAAAAAGAAGGAAGAAUGAAGAAUGAAGUAGUUAAAGAAUGAGUAGCUCUACCUCCAACAGCCUGCUAAAGAAUCCUGCAAGCAGAUCACUCAGGCAAGAUAAUAUCUGAAGAGAGUCAGCCAGUUUGCAGGCAAUGAAGAAUGAUGCAGAACCCAACUUCUUGCCUCCCUGAUUCACUGACAUUCUCCCCCUCAACACCCAUUUUUCCCUUUAAGAACUACCACGCCUGGCUGAGCAGAAUCUUUGGAGUUGGUCUCUGGACAAGAGUCCACCUUCUCCCCAGAUUGCCAGCUUUUCUGAUUAAAGCACCUUUCUAGUGACACUUCCUCUUGAAUUAUUGGCUUUUGAGCAGUGAGCUGCCAGUGAGUUCAGUAAAACACAUAGACACAAAGAAAGAAGGCAUGUGAUGACAGAGGCAGAAAUUGGAAUGAGGCAGCCAUAAGCCAAGAAAUGCCAAGGAUCGCCGGGAACCAGCAGAAACUAGGAAGAGGCAAGGAAAUAUUCUUCCCUAAAGCUCUUAGACAGAGCAUGGCCCUGCUGACACUUUGAUUUUGGACUUCUAGCCUCCAGAACUGGGAGCAAGUAAAUUUCUCUUGCUUAAGCCGCUCAGUUUGUGGUACUCUGUUGCAGCAGCCCUAGGAAACUAACAUAGUAAGAUAUUGGGGAAGGAGAAAUAUUCUGUAAUCUUAUGAUGAAAUCUCAAUGGGCCUGAGAUCCUGGGCUUGACCUUCAGAAGCAUUUCCUGGCCUUCUUCUCCCAUUACGUGAGACUGGAAGUGUGGCAGGCCUGGAGCUGUCUCAUUGCCCAUCCCCCAGGAGAGAUAAGGUGCUGGGAAAGCAGUUUCCCUUGAUGGAGGGCCUUUGUUAAGAACAGAAUGCUCUGGGCUGUCGAAGUUGUUACAUUCCCUCUGAGCUUCUUUUAAAAGGGUUACUUUUCUCCUCCCCAUCCCUGAAGCUCUAGGAUUAUUUCCCUACUUUCACAGUGAGAACCCAGUAGGGCUCCUGGAGGAAAACCCCAGGAAAGUGUGGGGCCUCCCUAAGACUGGAACCCCAGCAGAUUUUAACUCUCAAUCUGGUCCACACUCAACCUCCAGCAAUUCAUCCAACCAUUGGUACUCCUGCCAAUUGCUGGCUCCAGUGUCGGUUUCUGCUCCUGGUAAGUGGUGAUUCUCUGUGUUUCCUUCUCUCUCCAGAUUUCAGGGUGACGGUUUCCCCCGUGAUCUGAAUUGUCCAAUAAAUCUAAGAUAAG